AUUCUUAAAACAUGCGGGCUUUCAACGUGGAGCGAGAUCGGAGUGACUUGGCCUGCUUCUUCGUGUUAGAAACCGCAGUGAUAUAAAGUGCAGAACCGCAACAGAUCGCGGUUGAAAAGUUCUACAUGACUUUGUCAGAGUCUGAUCCAGUCCGAUAUGAAUACAUCAGUCCACUUGGCCAGGAUGUUCAACAACCAAG